ensembl:lncRNA
GCCAAAUACAUGCAUUUUUGGAGACUUUUGACAUGAAAUACUAACGGUUAAUGGAGUGAUGAUGAUGAUGAUUUUUUUUCUCACAGGACGAUGAAGAGGGAAUAUGGGCAUGAUGACCAUUGCCAUGGAAACCCUGCAUCCAUUGAUCCACACUACUUGUAGGUGUAGGCCAGGUACCAAGAUGUUCAAGAGCUUCAACUGCAAGCUAAACACUGAACCGGCCCAUACCUCCCCACCAUCAUGUGACCAGACAUAUACACACAUUCUCCAGGACACACCAUUUCAAUGUGUUAUGGACACGUUCAGCGUUCAGCCAGUCAGAUAUUCUCCCAUCUUAUUAAUGAAUGUCACGUUCGUUGACAAAUGCAAUGGCCCACUGAGGGUGGGAGAAUGUCCCUCACAGGACCAUCAGUCAUCAGUGUGGAGCUUCAAGGUAUUGGCAAGCGGCCUUUAUUUCCCUAGCUGUUUUCAAUAGACUGGGAGCUGGAUUCAUUUUACAGUGCUGCGGGUGCUACAGAGUUCUGGCUUAACAUCAACCGGCAAUCACUCCACCACUGUCGACUACUGGUGCGGCUAAGCUGAGCCAGUGGAACUAGUUGUAAACCCAUGCCAAUCCAGGACUGGUUUAUGAUGGCAUGAAUGUGUUUACUUCUGCAGCUAAAUAUCAGACUUUUGUAAAUACAACAACAUGGACCUCAAAAUCCACAAUCCACAGAGACCUUCUCAAUGUACAGUGCCAAAGGAGACAACCCUGUCUGCUGAAACAAAUGACUGGAGUCAUUCGGAAUACCCAGUAAACCGCCCUAGUUACUCAUUUCUUUGACUAUCCCCCACUUCCUGCUGAGAGAUCAACAAGGAAAGGCAACGUUGGGCUUAAAGAUGCACUAUAAAAACAGUUUGAGCAUCAGCUUACACCUUCUCUAAAAACCAGGACCCUUAUUAACACGGAAGGACACACGGCUGACCUUAAAUCAGCCGGCUCACUGUAAGAACAGUCUGCUUAUCCAUUUCUCCUUGUGUUUUUUUUUGCCUGCUGUGCGUUUGUUUAAUGAACCAAUAUUAUGUUCUGUUAGUUUUUCUACAUAUGAAACAUUUUUGAGUGCCACUCUUAUUUUAUUUAUUUUUUAAAGCUGUGUGUGACUUAUUACGCUGACGAGUGAUGUAUUAUUUUGUUGUCUAUUUUGUUGAUCCUGUGAAUCUGAGUAGAGAAUCUGUUCAUAAGGAAGUGACUUGCAUUUUAAAGCACUGUGUCAUUACUUUGUUCACUGUACUGGAGGUUGACGGUAAUGUACAGUGUUGUGUUUUGAUUCAACAGCUACAGUGUUUCCAUUUGGCCCUUACCUAACAUGUACAGUUUUUGUACAGUGUGUGUGCAUGUGUGUGUGUGUGUGUGUGUGUGGUUUCAUGCUGCGCUCAUGAUUGUGAUGACUGUGAAAGUUUGGGGGGUAACACUCGGUAUUCACCCUUGACUUCUUCCACAGUGUUUUGCGGUGGUCAGCUUGUUUCUGUUGUUUGAAUAAAAGUUGUUUUCACAAGAACGGCAACAUGUGUUUUAUCAGAAAGACAAUAAUGUGAACAUUGACAUCGACAGUGUU